GCAGCCUGAUGCGCCAUGCCGCGUGUAUGAAGAAGGCCUUCGGGUUGUAAAGUACUUUCAGCAGUGAGGAAGGGGGUGUCGUUAAUAGCGGCAUCUCUUGACGUUAGCUGCAGAAGAAGCACCGGCUAACUCCGUGCCAGCAGCCGCGGUAAUACGGAGGGUGCGAGCGUUAAUCGGAAUUACUGGGCGUAAAGCGCAUGCAGGUGGUUUGUUAAGUCAGAUGUGAAAGCCCGGGGCUCAACCUCGGAACUGCAUUUGAAACUGGCAAACUAGAGUACUGUAGAGGGGGGUAGAAUUUCAGGUGUAGCGGUGAAAUGCGUAGAGAUCUGAAGGAAUACCAGUGGCGAAGGCGGCCCCCUGGACAGAUACUGACACUCAGAUGCGAAAGCGUGGGGAGCAAACAGGAUUAGAUACCCUGGUAGUCCACGCCGUAAACGAUGUCUACUUGGAGGUUGUGGCCUUGAGCCGUGGCUUUCGGAGCUAACGCGUUAAGUAGACCGCCUGGGGAGUACGGUCGCAAGAUUAAAACUCAAAUGAAUUGACGGGGGCCCGCACAAGCGGUGGAGCAUGUGGUUUAAUUCGAUGCAACGCGAAGAACCUUACCUACUCUUGACAUCCAGAGAACUUACCAGAGAUGCAUUGGUGCCUUCGGGAACUCUGAGACAGGUGCUGCAUGGCUGUCGUCAGCUCGUGUUGUGAAAUGUUGGGUUAAGUCCCGCAACGAGCGCAACCCUUAUCCUUGUUUGCCAGCGAGUAAUGUCGGGAACUCCAGGGAGACUGCCGGUGAUAAACCGGAGGAAGGUGGGGACGACGUCAAGUCAUCAUGGCCCUUACGAGUAGGGCUACACACGUGCUACAAUGGCGCAUACAGAGGGCAGCCAACUCGCGAGAGUGAGCGAAUCCCAAAAAGUGCGUCGUAGUCCGGAUUGGAGUCUGCAACUCGACUCCAUGAAGUCGGAAUCGCUAGUAAUCGUAGAUCAGAAUGCUACGGUGAAUACGUUCCCGGGCCUUGUACACACCGCCCGUCACACCAUGGGAGUGGGCUGCAAAAGAAGUGGGUAGUUUAACCUUCGGGAGGACGCUCACCACUUUGUGGUCAUGAUGGGUGAC
rnacentral:rRNA from 1 species